CACUAGAAGCCGAUGAAGGACGUUACUAACGACGAUAUGCUUUGGGGAGCUGUAAGUAAGCUUUGAUCCAGAGAUUUCCGAAUGGGGAAACCCAGCAUGAGUUAUGUCAUGUUAUCGAUAUGUGAAUACAUAGCAUAUCAGAAGGCACACCCGGAGAACUGAAACAUCUUAGUACCCGGAGGAAGAGAAAGAAAAUUCGAUUCCCUUAGUAGCGGCGAGCGAAACGGGAAGAGCCCAAACCAAAAAGCUUGCUUGUUGGGGUUGUAGGACACUCUAUACGGAGUUACAAAGGACGACAUUAGACGAAUCAUCUGGAAAGAUGAAUCAAAGAAGGUAAUAAUCCUGUAGUCGAAAAUGUUGUCUCUCUUGAGUGGAUCCUGAGUACGACGGAGCACGUGAAAUUCCGUCGGAAUCUGGGAGGACCAUCUCCUAAGGCUAAAUACUCUCUAGUGACCGAUAGUGAACCAGUACCGUGAGGGAAAGGUGAAAAGCACCCCGGAAGGGGAGUGAAAUAGAACCUGAAACCGUGUGCUUACAAGUAGUCAGAGCCCGUUAAUGGGUGAUGGCGUGCCUUUUGUAGAAUGAACCGGCGAGUUACGAUUUGAUGCAAGGUUAAGCAGUAAAUGUGGAGCCGUAGCGAAAGCGAGUCUGAAUAGGGCGUUUAGUAUUUGGUCGUAGACCCGAAACCAGGUGAUCUACCCUUGGUCAGGUUGAAGUUCAGGUAACACUGAAUGGAGGACCGAACCGACUUACGUUGAAAAGUGAGCGGAUGAACUGAGGGUAGCGGAGAAAUUCCAAUCGAACCUGGAGAUAGCUGGUUCUCUCCGAAAUAGCUUUAGGGCUAGCCUCAAGUGAUGAUUAUUGGAGGUAGAGCACUGUUUGGACGAGGGGCCCCUCUCGGGUUACCGAAUUCAGACAAACUCCGAAUGCCAAUUAAUUUAACUUGGGAGUCAGAACAUGGGUGAUAAGGUCCGUGUUCGAAAGGGAAACAGCCCAGACCACCAGCUAAGGUCCCAAAAUAUAUGUUAAGUGGAAAAGGAUGUGGCGUUGCCCAGACAACUAGGAUGUUGGCUUAGAAGCAGCCAUCAUUUAAAGAGUGCGUAAUAGCUCACUAGUCGAGUGACACUGCGCCGAAAAUGUACCGGGGCUAAACAUAUUACCGAAGCUGUGGAUUGUCCUUUGGACAAUGGUAGGAGAGCGUUCUAAGGGCGUUGAAGCAUGAUCGUAAGGACAUGUGGAGCGCUUAGAAGUGAGAAUGCCGGUGUGAGUAGCGAAAGACGGGUGAGAAUCCCGUCCACCGAUUGACUAAGGUUUCCAGAGGAAGGCUCGUCCGCUCUGGGUUAGUCGGGUCCUAAGCUGAGGCCGACAGGCGUAGGCGAUGGAUAACAGGUUGAUAUUCCUGUACCACCUAUAAUCGUUUUAAUCGAUGGGGGGACGCAGUAGGAUAGGCGAAGCGUGCGAUUGGAUUGCACGUCUAAGCAGUAAGGCUGAGUAUUAGGCAAAUCCGGUACUCGUUAAGGCUGAGCUGUGAUGGGGAGAAGACAUUGUGUCUUCGAGUCGUUGAUUUCACACUGCCGAGAAAAGCCUCUAGAUAGAAAAUAGGUGCCCGUACCGCAAACCGACACAGGUAGUCAAGAUGAGAAUUCUAAGGUGAGCGAGCGAACUCUCGUUAAGGAACUCGGCAAAAUGACCCCGUAACUUCGGGAGAAGGGGUGCUCUUUAGGGUUAACGCCCAGAAGAGCCGCAGUGAAUAGGCCCAAGCGACUGUUUAUCAAAAACACAGGUCUCUGCUAAACCGUAAGGUGAUGUAUAGGGGCUGACGCCUGCCCGGUGCUGGAAGGUUAAGAGGAGUGGUUAGCUUCUGCGAAGCUACGAAUCGAAGCCCCAGUAAACGGCGGCCGUAACUAUAACGGUCCUAAGGUAGCGAAAUUCCUUGUCGGGUAAGUUCCGACCCGCACGAAAGGCGUAACGAUUUGGGCACUGUCUCAACGAGAGACUCGGUGAAAUCAUAGUACCUGUGAAGAUGCAGGUUACCCGCGACAGGACGGAAAGACCCCGUGGAGCUUUACUGUAGCCUGAUAUUGAAAUUCGGCACAGCUUGUACAGGAUAGGUAGGAGCCUUUGAAACGUGAGCGCUAGCUUACGUGGAGGCGCUGGUGGGAUACUACCCUAGCUGUGUUGGCUUUCUAACCCGCACCACUUA
rnacentral:rRNA from 1 species